rnacentral:tRNA from 1 species
GGGGUUGUGGCUCAGUGGUAGAGCACUUGCUUCACAUGUGCGAGGCCCUGGGUUAGAACCCCAGCACUCCA